AUCACUUCUCGGCCUUUUGGCUAAGAUCAAGUGUAGUAUCUGUUCUUAUCAGUUUAAUUUUUUUUUUAAUAUUAGGAAAAAAAUUUUUACAGAGAGAGUAAUCAGACAUUGGAAUGGCUGCCUGGGGAGGUGGUGGAUUCACCAUCCCUGGAGGGGAAACUGGAUGUAGCACUUAGUGCCAUGGUCUAGUAACCAUG
rfam:Manacus vitellinus contig20047, whole genome shotgun sequence.